UACGUAGGUGGCAAGCGUUGUCCGGAAUCAUUGGGCGUAAAGGGCGCGUAGGUGGCCCGGUCAGCGUGCGGUGAAAGCUCGGGGCUCAACCCCGAGUCGGCCGUGCGAACUGCUGGGCUGGAGCACUGUAGAGGCAGGCGGAAUUCCGGGUGUAGCGGUGGAAUGCGUAGAGAUCCGGAAGAACACCGGUGGCGAAGGCGGCCUGCUGGGCAGUGGCUGACACUGAGGCGCGACAGCGUGGGGAGCAAACAGG
rnacentral:rRNA from 1 species